UACGAAGGGUGCAAGCGUUACUCGGAAUUACUGGGCGUAAAGCGUGCGUAGGUGGUUUGUUAAGUCUGUUGUGAAAGCCCCGGGCUCAACCUGGGAAUGGCAAUGGAUACUGGCAGGCUAGAGUGCGGUAGAGGGUAGUGGAAUUCCCGGUGUAGCGGUGAAAUGCGUAGAGAUCGGAAGGAACAUCAGUGGCGAAAGCGACUUCCUGGACCAAUACUGACGCUCAUGUGCGAAAGCGUGGGGAGCAAACAGG
rnacentral:rRNA from 1 species